CUGUGCUAUAGUCAGCUGCAAUCAGGAUACAGUGUAGACAUGAGAGUUCUCACUCAACUCCUAGGUCUCCUGAUGCUCUGGCUCUCAGGUGCUCAAUGUGACAUCCACAUGACUCAGAACCCAGUUUCUUUGUCUGCCUUUAUAGGGGACAAGGUCACCAUCACUUGCCGGGCCAGUCAAGACAUUAGUAGAUAUUUAGGCUGGUACCAACAGAAACAAGGACAAAGUCCCAAGUUUCUGAUGUAUUAUGCAUCCAACUUACUCUCUGGUGUCCCAUCAAGGUUCAGUGACAGUGGUUCUGGGACAGAGUACUCUCUCACUAUCACUGGCAUUCAGCCUGAAGAUGCUGCAACUUACUUCUGUCAACAAUGUUACAGUUACCCUCCACAGUGACAGAGAUCUUAAC